UGUCCGGAAUAUGCAUGAAAUAUUUGCAAAUGGUGAUUAAGGAAACAUUAAUCAACCUUGAUAUUUUCGUUAACACUAUAGAAAUAAAUUUUGUUUUACCUGCAUAUAAUCUUUAAGUGUUGUUACAUCAACUUCAUCCGUUAUCUUAUACUGUUGUUGAAACAUGGCGUCUUGUAACAUUUGGUCGUAGAAUUUUCUGUUUCCCAUAUUCCGUAAAGAAUCUUCUGAUGCCU
rnacentral:lncRNA from 1 species